UACGUAGGGGGCUAGCGUUGUCCGGAUUUAUUGGGCGUAAAGAGCUCGUAGGCGGUGUGUCACGUCGGCCGUGAAAACCUGCAGCUUAACUGUGGGCGUGCGGUCGAUACGGGGCAUCACUGGAGUUCGGCAGGGGAGACUGGAAUUCCUGGUGUAGCGGUGAAAUGCGCAGAUAUCAGGAGGAACACCGGUGGCGAAGGCGGGUCUCUGGGCCGAUGACUGACGCUGAGGAGCGAAAGCGUGGGGAGCAAACAGG
rnacentral:rRNA from 1 species